rnacentral:rRNA from 1 species
GAGUUGCGAACGGGUGAGUAACGCGUAGGUAACCUGCCUAUUAGAGGGGGAUAACUAUUGGAAACGAUAGCUAAUACCGCAUAAUAGUAUGUAACACAUGUUAGAUGCUUGAAAGAUGCAAUUGCAUCGCUAGUAGAUGGACCUGCGUUGUAUUAGCUAGUAGGUAGGGUAAAGGCCUACCUAGGCAACGAUACAUAGCCGACCUGAGAGGGUGAUCGGCCACACUGGGACUGAGACACGGCCCAGACUCCUACGGGAGGCAGCAGUAGGGAAUCUUCGGCAAUGGGGGGAACCCUGACCGAGCAACGCCGCGUGAGUGAAGAAGGUUUUCGGAUCGUAAAGCUCUGUUGUUAAGGAAGAAUGAGUGUGAGAAUGGAAAGUUCAUACUGUGACGGUACUUAACCAGAAAGGGACGGCUAACUACGUGCCAGCAGCCGCGGUAAUACGUAGGUCCCGAGCGUUGUCCGGAUUUAUUGGGCGUAAAGCGAGCGCAGGCGGUUAGAAAAGUCUGAAGUGAAAGGCAGUGGCUCAACCAUUGUAGGCUUUGGAAACUGUUUAACUUGAGUGCAGAAGGGGAGAGUGGAAUUCCAUGUGUAGCGGUGAAAUGCGUAGAUAUAUGGAGGAACACCGGUGGCGAAAGCGGCUCUCUGGUCUGUAACUGACGCUGAGGCUCGAAAGCGUGGGGAGCGAACAGGAUUAGAUACCCUGGUAGUCCACGCCGUAAACGAUGAGUGCUAGGUGUUAGGUCCUUUCCGGGACUUAGUGCCGCAGCUAACGCAUUAAGCACUCCGCCUGGGGAGUACGACCGCAAGGUUGAAACUCAAAGGAAUUGACGGGGGCCCGCACAAGCGGUGGAGCAUGUGGUUUAAUUCGAAGCAACGCGAAGAACCUUACCAGGUCUUGACAUCCCGAUGCUAUUUCUAGAGAUAGGAAGUUUCUUCGGAACAUCGGUGACAGGUGGUGCAUGGUUGUCGUCAGCUCGUGUCGUGAGAUGUUGGGUUAAGUCCCGCAACGAGCGCAACCCUUAUUGUUAGUUGCCAUCAUUGAGUUGGGCACUCUAGCGAGACUGCCGGUAAUAAACCGGAGGAAGGUGGGGAUGACGUCAAAUCAUCAUGCCCCUUAUGACCUGGGCUACACACGUGCUACAAUGGCUGGUACAACGAGUCGCAAGCCGGUGACGGCAAGCUAAUCUCUGAAAGCCAGUCUCAGUUCGGAUUGUAGGCUGCAACUCGCCUACAUGAAGUCGGAAUC